rnacentral:rRNA from 1 species
UACGUAGGGUGCAAGCGUUGUCCGGAAUUAUUGGGCGUAAAGAGCUCGUAGGCGGUCUGUCGCGUCGAAUGUGAAAACCCGGGGCUCAACCUCGGGCUGCAUUCGAUACGGGCAGGCUAGAGUUCGGUAGGGGAGUCUGGAAUUCCUGGUGUAGCGGUGAAAUGCGCAGAUAUCAGGAGGAACACCGGUGGCGAAGGCGGGACUCUGGGCCGAUACUGACGCUGAGGAGCGAAAGGCGUGGGGAGGCGAACAGGAUUAGACUACC